rnacentral:rRNA from 1 species
UUCCGGUUGAUCCUGCCGGAGGUCACUGCUAUUGGGAUUCGACUAAGCCAUGCGAGUCGAGAGGGUUCGGCCCUCGGCAAACGGCUCAGUAACACGCGGAUAAUCUGCCCUUAGGUGGAGGAUAACCUCGGGAAACUGAGAAUAAUACUCCAUAGAUCUAGGAUGCUGGAAUGCACUUAGAUUGAAAGUUCCGGCGCCUAAGGAUGAGUCUGCGGACUAUCAGGUAGUAGUCAGGGUAAAGGCCUGACUAGCCUACGACGGAUACGGGUUGUGAGAGCAAUAACCCGGAGACGAUAUCUGAGACACGAUAUCGGGCCCUACGGGGCGCAGCAGGCGCGAAACCUUCACAAUGUGCGAAAGCGCGAUGAGGGGAUCCCAAGUGCUUGCUCGUAAGAGUAAGCUGUUUUUAUGUCUAAAACGCAUAGAGAGUAAGGGCUGGGUAAGACGGGUGCCAGCCGCCGCGGUAAUACCUGCAGCUCAAGUGGUGACCGCUAUUAUUGGGCCUAAAACAUUCGUAGCCGGUUUGGUAAAUGCCUGGGUAAAUCGUGUAGCUUAACUAUACGAAUUCCGGGUAGACUGCCAAACUUGAGACCGGGAGAAGCUAGAGGUACUCCUUGGGUAGAGGUGAAAUUCUGUAAUCCUAGGGGGACCACCAGUGGCGAAGGCGUCUAGCUAGAACGGGUUUGACGGUGAGGAAUGAAGCCCUGGGUCGCAAACCGGAUUAGAUACCCGGGUAGUCCAGGGUGUAAACGCUGCUUGCUUGAUGUUAGUUGGGCUCCGAGCCCAAUUAGUGUCGGAGAGAAGUUGUUAAGCAAGCUGCCUGGGAAGUACGAUCGCAAGAUUGAAACUUAAAGGAAUUGGCGGGGGAGCACAGCAACGGGUGGAGCGUGCGGGUUUAAUUGGAUUCAACGCCGGAAUCACUAGUGCGGGCCGCCUGCAGGUCGACCAUAUGGGAGAGCUCCCAACGCGUUGGAUGCAUAGCUUGAGUAUUCUAUAGUGUCACUAAAUAGCUUGGCGUAAUCAUGGUCAUAGCUGUUUCCUGUGUGAAAUUGUUAUUCCGCUCACAUUCCACACAACAUACGAGCCGGAGCAUAAGUGUAAGCCUGGGGUGCUAUGAGUGGAGCUACUCACAUAAUGCGAUGCCGCUCACUGCCGGCUUCAGUCGGAACUGUCUGCCAGCUGCAUUAUGAUCGGUAACGCCCCGGGGAAGAGGCCG